rnacentral:misc_RNA from 1 species
GGAAGGAUCAUUAAAGAGAUUUGGGUCCUUCGGGGCCCGACCUCCAACCCCCUGUCGUUUAACAAAAACCGUUGCUUCGGCGGACCCGUCGGGCCUCUCAAGGGCCCCUCGGCCCGGGACUCAAAACCCCCCGGGACAGCGUCCGCCGGAGUCAAACCACAAAACCCUUCUCAAAGAACAGUCGUCCGAGUCAACAAAGAUUUAAUAAAUUAAAACUUUCAACAACGGAUCUCUUGGUUCUGGCAUCGAUGAAGAACGCAGCGAAAUGCGAUAAGUAAUGUGAAUUGCAGAAUUCAGUGAAUCAUCGAAUCUUUGAACGCACAUUGCGCCCCUUGGUAUCCCGAGGGGCAUGCUUGUUCGAGCGUCAUUUCACCACUCAAGCCCUGCUUGGAGUUGGGCUCUCGUCCGUCCCUCAGCGGCGGACGUGCCCCAAAGACCUCGGCGGAGGCGAACCGGUCUCGGGCGUAGUAGAAUAACUCGACGUCAGACCCCGGUGCGCGUCCCGCCGACCGAAUCGGUCCCCGAGCUGCUCACCCAGCGCGGGGCCACCCCAUCAUCAGGUUGACCUCGGAUCAGGUAGGGAUACCCGCUGAACUUAAGCAUAUCAAUAAGCGGAGGAAAAGAAACCAACAGGGAUUGCCUCAGUAACGGCGAGUGAAGCGGCAACAGCUCAAAUUUGAAAUCUGGCCCCCUCCGGGGUCCGAGUUGUAAUUUGUAGAGGAUGCUUUUGGGUCUCCGCCGGUCUAAGUUCCUUGGAACAGGACGUCACAGAGGGUGAGAAUCCCGUACGUGACCGGAGAGGUGCCCUUUGUAAAGCUCCUUCGACGAGUCGGGUUGUUUGGGAAUGCAGCCCUAAAUUGGAGGUAAAUUUCUUCUAAAGCUAAAUACCGGCCAGAGACCGAUAGCGCACAAGUAGAGUGAUCGAAAGAUGAAAAGCACUUUGGAAAGAGAGUUAAAAAGCACGUGAAAUUGUUGAAAGGGAAGCGCUUGCGAUCAGUCUCGACGGCGGUUGUUCAGCGGGCCUUCUGGCCUGCCUACUCAGCCGCCGCCGGGCCAGCAUCGGUUCGGGCGGCCGGACAAAGACCCCAGGAAUGUGACUCCCCCUCGGGGGAGUGUUAUAGCCUGGGGUGCAAUACGGCCAGCCGGGACCGAGGUCCGCGCUUCGGCUAGGAUGCUGGCGAAAUGGUCGUAAGCGGCCCGUCUUGAAACACGGACCAAGGAGUCUAACAUCUAUGCGAGUGUUUGGGUGUCAAACCCGUGCGCGUAAUGAAAGUGAACGGAGGUGGGAACCGCAAGGUGCACCAUCGACCGAUCCUGAUGUCUUCGGAUGGAUUUGAGUAAGAGCAUAGCUGUUGGGACCCGAAAGAUGGUGAACUAUGCCUGAAUAGGGUGAAGCCAGAGGAAACUCUGGUGGAGGCUCGCAGCGGUUCUGACGUGCAAAUCGAUCGUCAAAUUUGGGUAUAGGGGCGAAAGACUAAUCGAACCAUCUAGUAGCUUGUUCCUGC